GAGGAAGUUCAUGGUGGCUGCGUGUAUUGGCAUUGGUGUUGGCAAUAAAAAGUGUGUGCUGGGAUGCGUCGAGAAUCCUAAUCCAGUCUUCUUCACUCCAUGGAUGAAUCAAUUAGAAGGGACUGGGGAAAUUAGUGGCUAGGGCCUAUCUUUCGGCAAGAACUACUCGAGAAAGGCCUGGGUUUAGGAGUUCAAGCAGUUAUGUCACCGUCAGCUGAGACUUGAUGGAGAAGGGUAAUCGACACUGAAGGUGACCGAGACGAUAGAAAAGUUGUGGUUUAGGGUGCGUUGACAUUUUUCCUUGAAGGCCCAAGGAUCUACGUAAGAAGUGGUAGUGCACAAAGGAGAUGGAUGAAUAUGUGGGAUGCAUGUAGUACUACACAAAUUAAUUCGAAAUGUGUCACAAAGAGCAACAAGCAUUUGAGAAACAUGCAUAUUCUUUGGAAUGCAUCCAUGUCCUUUACCUUUGUUUACAUUAAUAAUAACACAAGCGACUUGCAGGGAGCCAUUUCUCCAUUUCUUAGCUUGGAUGACUGGUUUGUGUAAUUAACAUUUAGAUUAAUAGUUGUUGUUCAUGACUUGCACUCUAUAUCUUUAGUUUGACUUUGAUUCUUCA